CCUACGGGAGGCAGCAGUAGGGAAUUUUCGUCAAUGGGCGCAAGCCUGAACGAGCGAUGCCGCGUGAGUGAAGAAGGCCUUCGGGUCGUAAAGCCCUGUUGCGGGGGAAAAAAGGCAGCAUCAGGAAAUGGGUGCUGACUGAUGGUGCCCCUCCAGAAAGUCACGGCUAACUACGGGCCAGCAGCCGCGGCAGUACGUAGGUGGCGAGCGUUAUCCGGAAUGGUUGGGCGGAAAGGGUGCGCAGGCGGUCAUGCAAGUCUGGAGUGAAACGCAUGAGCUCAACCCAUGCACGGCUUUGGAAACUGGGGGACUGGAGUGCAGGAGAGGGCGGUGGAACUCCAGGUGUAGCGGUGAAAUGCGUAGAUAUCUGGAAGAACACCAGUGGCGAAGGCGGCCGGCUGGCCUGUUGCUGACGCUGAGGCACGAAAGCGUGGGGAGCAAAUAGGAUUAGAUACCCCGGUAGUC
rnacentral:rRNA from 1 species